CAUUACUAUCAAAAUGUGAUCACAGGCUUUGCUGCUAAGCUUACACCGGAAGAAGCCAAAGCAAUGGAGAAGAAGGAAGGGUUUGUGUCAGCAAGAGUCGAGAGAUCCUUGUCUCUACAUACUACUCACACUCCCGAGUUCUUAGGUCUGCUGCAAAAUCAAGGGAGCUAUUGGAGCUCUGCACAUUUCGGUAGAGGAGUGAUCAUUGGUGUUAUUGAUAGUGGCAUCAAGCAUGAUCACCCUUCGUUUGGUGAUGAAGGGAUGCCUCCACCUCCUGCAAGAUGGAAAGGUAAGUGUGAGUUCAACGGGAAGAAGACUUGUAACAACAAGCUUAUAGGUGCUAGAAGC
rnacentral:lncRNA from 1 species